AACUCGAGGCUCGAAAUGUAGUGGACCGGGGUGGAAACAUCCCUUCCCCGCAAGGGGCUGCUAUAUAGGUGCUGCAUGGCUGUCGUCAGCUCGUGUCGUGAGAUGUUGGGUUAAGUCCCGCAACGAGCGCAACCCUUAUCUCCAGUUGCUACCAUUUAGUUGAGCACUCUGGCGAAACCGCCUCGGAUAACGGGGAGGAAGGUGGGGAUGACGUCAAGUCCUCAUGGCCUUUAUGUCCAGGGCUACACACGUGCUACAAUGGCCGGUACAAACCGUCGCAAACCCGCGAGGGGGAGCUAAUCGGAAAAAGCCGGCCUCAGUUCGGAUUGCAAUCUGCAACUCAACUGCAUGAAGCUGGAAUCGCUAGUGGGCCGAGAUCUAACGCCCCGGUGAAUACCUUCCCGGGCCUUGUACACACCGCCCGUUACAUCACGAAUGUGGGUUGCACUAUAAUCCGGUGGGCUAACCCCACCGUAUUCCUCCCUCC
rnacentral:rRNA from 1 species